GACCGCGUAGCUCAGUUGGACGAGCAUUGGGCUAGUAUUCCAAAGGUCGUAGGUUCGAAUCCCACCGUGGCCG
rnacentral:tRNA from 1 species